rnacentral:rRNA from 1 species
GGAUAACCUGCCCUAAGGAAGGGGAUAACCCCGGGAAACUGGGGAUAAUACCCUAUAGGUUACAGGUGCUGGAAUGCUUUGUAACCCAAAGUUCCGACGCCUUAGGAUGGAUCUGCGGCCGAUUAGGUUGUUGUUGGGGUAACGGCCCAACAAGCCAGUAAUCGGUACGGGUUGUGGGAGCAAGAGCCCGGAGUUGGAUUCUGAGACACGAAUCCAGGCCCUACGGGGCGCAGCAGGCGCGAAAACUUUACAAUGCGGGCAACCGUGAUAAGGGAACCUCGAGUGCCUGUAUAUGCAGGCUGUCCAGGUGUCUAAAAAACACCUGAAGAAAGGGCCGGGCAAGACCGGUGCCAGCCGCCGCGGUAACACCGGCGGCUCGAGUGGUAACCGCUAUUAUUGGGUCUAAAGGGUCUGUAGCCGGCCGACUAAGUCUCUUGGGAAAUCUGGCAUCUCAAGUGUCAGGCUGCCAGGGGAUACUGGUCGGCUUGGGACCGGGAGAGGUGAGAGGUACCUCGGGGGUAGGGGUGAAAUCUUGUAAUCCUCGAGGGACCACCAGUGGCGAAGGCGUCUCACCAGAACGGAUCCGACGGCAAGGGACGAAAGCUAGGGGCACGAACCGGAUUAGAUACCCGGGUAGUCCUAGCCGUAAACGAUACUCGCUAGGUGUCGGCCACGGUGCGACCGUGGUCGGUGCCGUAGGGAAGCCGUGAAGCGAGCCACCUGGGAAGUACGGCCGCAAGGCUGAAACUUAA